CCGCCAGACUCCUACGGGAGGCAGCAGUGAGGAAUAUUGGUCAAUGGGCGCUAGCCUGAACCAGCCAAGUAGCGUGAAGGAUGACUGCCCUAUGGGUUGUAAACUUCUUUUAUAUGGGAAUAAAGUGCAGUAUGUAUACUGCUUUGCAUGUACCUUAUGAAUAAGGAUCGGCUAACUCCGUGCCAGCAGCCGCGGUAAUACGGAGGAUGCGAGCGUUAUCCGGAUUUAUUGGGUUUAAAGGGUGCGCAGGCGGAAUGUCAAGUCAGCGGUAAAAUUGCGGGGCUCAACCCCGUCGUGCCGUUGAAACUGGCGUUCUUGAGUGAGCGAGAAGUAUGCGGAAUGCGUGGUGUAGCGGUGAAAUGCAUAGAUAUCACGCAGAACUCCGAUUGCGAAGGCAGCAUACCGGCGCGCAACUGACGCUCAUGCACGAAAGCGUGGGUAUCGAACAGGAUUAGAUACCCGUGUA
rnacentral:rRNA from 1 species